GUGCUUGCUUCGGCAGCACAUAUGCUAAAAUUGGAAUGAUACAGAGAAGAUUAGCACGGCCCCUGAGCAAGGAUGACAUGCAAGUUUGUGAAGUGUUCCAUAUUUUU
ensembl:snRNA U6 U6 spliceosomal RNA